rnacentral:lncRNA from 1 species
AAGGCGUACACCAUGGCCCAUCAUCGUCCAUGAAUAACAUAUUUACCCCUUCCCAGUUCUCAAAGAAGAAAAGCCAUAUUUUCAGGUAUUUCCUUGUAACAAAAUUAACUCUUUCCUCAGUUUGCCAUUGAAAAUAUUUAAUCACACUGUGUCAUGUAUACUCCUAAAUUGACUAUGCAUCUACUAUGGUCACCGAGCGUACAUCAAGAGAGUUUUUUGUUGUUGAGAAAAUCCAUCGAAUAACACAUUUACCCCACCUUUUAUCUAUACCAAUAUAUAUACCAAUAUAUUAAAUUGGAGUUGGUGGUGAUGGUACGGGCGUCACGGUACGUCACUUCACCGAAAUUACGAAUCUGCCACCGCUAUUCCCACGCGCCUUUUAAUCCCGGCUCCCGCGGUCCUUAAGCGCAGAAAAAACACGUACCGCCCAAAAAAGAAAAAAACAACAACAGAGCCCUCCUCGCUCCUCCUAUCCUACGAAUCUCACCCCCACCCGAUCCGGAUCUCGCCAGCGCCCGCCGCCGCUCUUGGUCGCCUCCACCAUCUCGUGC